rnacentral:rRNA from 1 species
UACGUAGGAUCCGAGCGUUGUCCGGAUUUACUGGGCGUAAAGCGUGCGCAGGCGGUUUGCUAAGACCGAUGUGAAAUCCCCGGGCUUAACCUGGGAACUGCAUUGGUGACUGGCAGGCUAGAGUAUGGCAGAGGGGGGUAGAAUUCCACGUGUAGCAGUGAAAUGCGUAGAGAUGUGGAGGAAUACCGAUGGCGAAGGCAGCCCCCUGGGCCAAUACUGACGCUCAUGCACGAAAGCGUGGGGAGCAAACAGG